CUCAUUUCUCUGAGGGAUACUCUCAGAGAAAUGAGAAACACGUGGUAGAUUUUAUUCAUCUCGUUAUUUUUAAAUCUCUUUAACAGCAGUUUAUGCUAUAGACUUCUAGAUAAACAUCUCGAAGUGCAUCCCUUACGAAAAUUUAAGAGCUUAUCCACUGUUCCCUGAUAUUGCUGAGAUGACCUAGGCUGUAAAUAGCACAUGUGCAGCAGCGAUGAAGAGCAAGUUACUGCUCAGCCUUCCCCUAGGAAAUAGUUCUGAAUUCAUACCAUAAAGAAAAAGUUCCAAUAAUUACAAGUUUCAACUGGUAGACGGAAACAGUAUUAAAAUAAUUUUGUUGAUUUGCAAAAAAAUUACAUUUUAGUUUUAAAUAAAAGUAUUUGAAUAUCA